rnacentral:rRNA from 1 species
GUUAGUUAAAGAAGAACAUAUCUGAGAGUAACUGUUCAGGUAUUGACGGUAUUUAACCAGAAAGCCACGGCUAACUACGUGCCAGCAGCCGCGGUAAUACGUAGGUGGCAAGCGUUGUCCGGAUUUAUUGGGCGUAAAGCGAGCGCGGGCGGUUUUUUAAGUCUGAUGUGAAAGCCUUCGGCUCAACCGAAGUAGUGCAUCGGAAACUGGGAAACUUGAGUGCAGAAGAGGACAGUGGAACUCCAUGUGUAGCGGUGAAAUGCGUAGAUAUAUGGAAGAACACCAGUGGCGAAGGCGGCUGUCUGGUCUGUAACUGACGCUGAGGCUCGAAAGUAUGGGUAGCAAACAGGAUUAGAUACCCUGGUAG